rnacentral:rRNA from 1 species
UUCCAGACUCCUACGGGAGGCAGCAGUGGGGAAUAUUGCACAAUGGGGGAAACCCUGGUGCAGCGACGCCGCGUGAGUGAAGAAGUAUUUCGGUAUGUAAAGCUCUAUCAGCAGGGAAGAUAAUGACGGUACCUGACUAAGAAGCCCCGGCUAACUACGUGCCAGCAGCCGCGGUAAUACGUAGGGAGCGAGCGUUGUCCGGAUUUACUGGGUGUAAAGGGCGUGUAGGCGGAGCGGCAAGUCAGAAGUGAAAUCUCCGGGCUCAACCCGGAAACUGCUUUUGAAACUGUAGCCCUUGAGUAUCGGAGAGGCAGGCGGAAUUCCUAGUGUAGCGGUGAAAUGCG